rnacentral:rRNA from 1 species
CCUACGGGAGUCUGCCGUGAGGAAUUUUGGUCAAUGGGCGCGCGCCUGAACCAGCCAAGUAGCGUGAAGGAUGACUGCCCUACGGGUUGUAAACUUCUUUUAUAAAGGAAUACAGUGAGGCACGUGUGCCUUUUUGUAUGUACUUUAUGAUUAAGGAUCGGCUAACUCCGUGCCAGCAGCCGCGGUCAUACGGAGGAUCCGAGCGUUAUCAGGAUUUGUUGGGUUUAAAGAGAGCGUAGAUGGGUUGUUAAGUCAGUUGUGAAAGUUUGCGGCUCAAACGUAAAAUUGCAAUUGAUACUUGCAGUAUUGAGUACAGUUGGGGUAGGCGGAAUUCGUGGUGUAGCGGUGAAAUGCUUAGAUAUCACGAAGAACUCCGAUUGCGAAGGCAGCUUACUAAACUGCCACUGACAUUGAUGCUCGAAAGUGUGGGUAUCAAACAGGAUUAGAUACCCGGGUAGUC